UUUUAUGUGUCCCCUGUGUUGUCGGCCUCCCUUUGUGUUUCCGUCAGCUCACUGUCCUGUGGAGUUCACAGCCACCUUCUCUGCCUCAGUGGCCUGCCUCUCCUUUGCUGUCACUUUCGGUUUUUUUUCUAGGUGGAGAUGCAAUUUCUUUCCCAGAGAUGCAAUUCUUUGUCCCUCCCAAGAAUGAACUUGGUGGCACCCUAGAGGAUCAUCUCUCACCCAAGUCCCCAUAACACAGCCAAGUUGACAGUCAAGAGGAGCCAUCCAGGAGAAUAACGCUUUAAGUAUCGUAAGAUGCAGAAGGCUGCAAAGAGCAUCGCUUCUGCUGAGAUGCAGCUAUGGAAAGAUAUUUCACAACACAUAGAUUCGUGGAAAAGUCACGAAGCUCCUUCUUUCUUAAAGCAUUGCAUGGCGCGGUCCAGCAGCGGGUGUAUUUUUCUGGUCGCCAUGACGACAAGUGUUAUUUCACGAUACCUGCAGCAAACGUGUUGUGAAAAAUGAAAACACUCAUGACUUCUAUGUUGGUGAAAAGUAGGUACCGCUGACAUUGCUGUGGUUUGUGCCCUACGCCCCUGAUGGCAGGAAAUACUGAAGUUCACUGAAUUGUGUAUUAAAAUGUACAUGUCA